CGACGUGGAUAACCUGCCUCACACUGGGGGAUAACAGUUAGAAAUGACUGCUAAUACCGCAUAAGCCCACAGCUCGGCAUCGAGCAGAGGGAAAAGGAGUGAUCCGCUUUGAGAUGGCCUCGCGUCCGAUUAGCUAGUUGGUGAGGUAACGGCCCACCAAGGCAACGAUCGGUAGCCGGACUGAGAGGUUGAACGGCCACAUUGGGACUGAGACACGGCCCAG
rnacentral:rRNA from 1 species